UGGUGCGGUAGCUUAAAGAGAAAGUUCCUUGUUGAAAACAAGGGUGAUGGGAUCCCCUCGCACUAA
rnacentral:tRNA from 1 species